rnacentral:rRNA from 1 species
CUAUGCGCCUUGCCAGCCCGCUCAGGUGUGCCAGCCGCCGCGGUAAUACGAGGGUGCAAGCGUUAAUCGGAAUUACUGGGCGUAAAGCGCACGCAGGCGGUUUGUUAAGUCAGAUGUGAAAUCCCCGGGCUCAACCUGGGAACUGCAUCUGAUACUGGCAAGCUUGAGUCUCGUAGAGGGGGUAGAAUUCCAGGUGUAGCGGUGAAAUGCGUAGAGAUCUGGAGGAAUACCGGCGGCGAAAGGCGGCCCCUGGGCGAAGACUGACGCUCAGGUGCGAAAGCGUGGGAGCAAACAGG